GUCUAGUCUCCAGGCAAGAAGGGAGUUUGUUCUGGGAAAGGGCUGUUAUUGUCAUUUUUUAAAACUAUAAACUAGGUUCCUCCCAAAGUUUUUUCAGCCUGCGCCCAGAAAUGAACAAGGACAGCUUGGAGGUUAGAGGCAAGAUGGAUUCAUUUCUGGAAUUGUUGGGAUUUUACCAGGGUGACACACCUAGAUUAUCCAGAGUGCUAUAUAAAUUCCCUUU
rnacentral:lncRNA from 1 species